GACGAACGCUGGCGGCGUGCUUAACACAUGCAAGUCAAGGGGGCUCGCAAGAGCAACCGGCGAACGGGUGCGUAACACGUGAACAACCUGCCCUUGUGUGGGGGAUAGCCGGGCUAACGCCCGGGUAAUACCGCAUACGGUCUGCUGAGGGAGUCCUUGGCAGAGGAAAGCCUUCGGGCGCACGAGGAGGGGUUCGCGGCCUAUCAGCUAGUUGGUGCGGUCAUGGCGCACCAAGGCGACGACGGGUAGCUGGUCUGAGAGGAUGGCCAGCCACAUUGGGACUGAGAGACGGCCCAGACUCCUACGGGAGGCAGCAGUGGGGAAUCUUGCGCAAUGGCCGAAAGGCUGACGCAGCGACGCCGCGUGUGGGAGGACGCCUUUCGGGUGUAACCACU
rnacentral:rRNA from 1 species